GCCGAGAUAGCUCAGUUGGUAGAGCGUCCGCCUGAAGAGCGGUAGGUCCCCAGUUCAAAUCUGGGUCUCGGCA
rnacentral:tRNA from 1 species